rnacentral:tRNA from 1 species
GAUGGUAUAGCUCAAUUGAUAGAGUGCCUGCUUAGUAUGCAUGAAGUCCUGGGUUCAAUCCCCAGCACAUCCA